AAAUCAUCCACAGUUUUCUUUUCGUAGUUGGUUCUUGAAAAUAAUGAUAGGGAAAGAAAAAGAAAGAUGCACAAAAAUGGCUUCUUCCAUAGGAUCUAAUGUACUUCUCAGUUCUUUCCUUCAUUCUUUCCACGAACCAGCUUGUUUGGAGUUGUAAAAUGCUAUAUGUAUUACUAUCGAAAAGAGUAUCAUGGAUUUACCAUGUUAACUUAAAUCUCG
rnacentral:misc_RNA from 1 species